CAAGUAUACUUGCUGACGUCUGGCAUUCAUCGUUUACGGUGUGGACUACCAGGGUAUCUAAUCCUGUUUGCUCCCCACACUUUCGCACCUCAGCGUCAGUUUCGAGCCAGUAAGCCGCCUUCGCCACUGGUGUUCCUCUAAAUAUCUACGAAUUUCACCUCUACACUUGGAAUUCCACUUACCUCUCUCGAACUCAAGACUAGCAGUAUUAAAGGCAGUUCCAGGGUUGAGCCCUGGGAUUUCACCCUUAACUUACUAAUCCGCCUACGUGCGCUUUACGCCCAGUAAUUCCGAACAACGCUAACCCCCUCCGUAUUACCGCGGCUGCUGGCACGGAGUUAGCCGGGGUUUCUUUACCAGAUACUGUCAUUAUCAUCUCUGGCGAAAGUGCUUUACGACCCUAAGGCCUUCAUCACACACGCGGCAUGGCUAGAUCAGGGUUUCCCCCAUUGUCUAAGAUUCCCUACUGCUGCCUCCCGUAGGAGUCUGGGCCGUGUCUCAGUCCCAGUGUGGCUGAUCAUCCUCUCAAACCAGCUAUAGAUCGUAGGCUUGGUAGGCCAUUACCCCACCAACUACCUAAUCUAACGCGGGCUAAUCCUUCUCCGAUAAAUCUUUCCCCCGAAGGGCGUAUAAGGUAUUACUCUCAGUUUCCCGAGGCUAUUCCUUAGAGAAGGGCAUAUUCCCACGCGUUACUCACCCGUCCGCCGCUCAUCCCGAAGGAUGCGCUCGACUUGCAUGUAUUAGGCCUGCCGCCAGCGUUCGUUCUGAGCCAGGAUCAAACUCU
rnacentral:rRNA from 1 species